rnacentral:lncRNA from 1 species
AUCGAGCAUCCUGGACCUGCAAUGGGAUUGGCUCUCCCCCGUUGGAACAUCCCCUAUAAUGAUGGUUUUGAUUUGUCUCGCUUGUUAUAUUUGACCUAUCCAACUAGCCUAGCUCAUUUUUUUAUAGACCAUGGAAGGGAAUGAAUGAUGUGUGAAGUGAUUGGAAGGCACAAGCGCGGAUACCUUGCAACAAUUGAAGUAACCUCGGAGGGACUACUUUAAGAGCAGUCCUGAAACCCUAAACCCCGUUGCUUUCGAGUCUGAGUAGUUUUUUUACGGUCGCACAAAUAUCCAAUUGGAUCAUUCAUUAGUCACUUUGAGAUCUAUGUAAACAGGUGAAUGAUUGAUUUCAGAGCAUUUUGAGAUCUGUACGGUGAGCGAUCCAAUAGUGGAUCUGUAUGAAAAAAAGGUGAAUGCAACCCGAUCGGUUGCUUUCGUUGUUGCACGACGACAUUUCGAAGGAAGGAUGGACUACCAAAUGCUGCAUCAAGGAGCUCAAGAAUGAA